CGUCAAGUGAACGAGUGAAGAGCUGUGAAAGAGCAAUUGCAUUCGCAACCAGUUCAUUGCACUACCGCCGCGACUACCUGCUGCUGCAGCCGGGCAAUAAAUUCUUGACUUUCGCAUGAAUAUUCACGCCUAUUUGUUUGCUUAUCGCUGGAGCUGAUAAACAAUUGCUGCAAAAAAUCCAAAUCAAACCUAAUUUUUUAACAAAAAUAAUAAGUAUUCUACACAAUAACUAAAGUACUAUAAUAUCUGUGCAAACAGCAGAGUGUGGGAGAUGCGCUUGUGGAAAAAAUUGACGUUAAGCUAAAUUGUAU